rnacentral:rRNA from 1 species
UACGGGGGGGGCAAGCGUUGUUCGGAAUUACUGGGCGUAAAGGGCGCGUAGGCGGCAAUUCAAGUCAUCUGUGAAAUCUCCGGGCUUAACCCGGAACGGUCAGAUGAUACUGCUUUGCUAGAGUGCGGAAGGGGCAAUCGGAAUUCUCGGUGUAGCGGUGAAAUGCGUAGAUAUCAGGAAGAACACCCGUGGCUAAGGCGGCUCUCUAGUACGGUACUGACGCUGAGACGCGAAAGCGUGGGGAGCGAACAGG